rnacentral:snRNA from 1 species
GAGUCAGAAAUCUCGUGUGGAA